rnacentral:rRNA from 1 species
UGUCCCAGUUCGGACUGGAGUCUGCAACCCGACUCCACGAAGUUGGAUUCGCUAGUAAUCGCGCAUCAGCCAUGGCGCGGUGAAUACGUUCCCGGGCCUUGUACACACCGCCCGUCAAGCCAUGGGAGCCGGGGGCGCCUGAAGUCAGUGACCCAACCGCAAGGAGGGAGCUGCCGAAGGUGGAGCUGGUAACUGGGGUGAAGUCGUAACAAGGUAAC